CUCCGAUUUAGGGUUUCUCACAAAACAUCCUUACUAUCCGCCGGCGAUUCAAGAUCUAGGGUUUGUCUCCAAGGCGAUUCAAGAUCUAGCAUUUCUCAUUGACACCAGAUCGAUGAAUCUAUCUCUAUCCGACAUCAUAUUGACUGAAUUUGACCUCUCGACAACUUAUAUUGAACCGAUUUGGAGUUGGGUUUCGGUAAGAAAAGGAUUAAAAAAUUUUAACGAGUCACG